rnacentral:rRNA from 1 species
UACGUAGGGUGCGAGCGUUGUCCGGAAUUAUUGGGCGUAAAGAGCUUGUAGGUGGUUUGUCGCGUCUGCUGUGAAAAUCCGAGGCUCAACCUCGGACUUGCAGUGGGUACGGGCAGACUAGAGUGUGGUAGGGGAGACUGGAAUUCCGUGGUGUAGCGGUGGAAUGCGCAGAUAUCAGGAAGAACACCCGUGGCUAAGGCGGCUCUCUAGUACGGUACUGACGCUGAGACGCGAAAGCGUGGGGGAGCGAACAGG